rnacentral:lncRNA from 1 species
GGAGGUUCUGAUCAGCAAAUAAGGAAGGAACAACAUCUGACAUCUUUACCCACUUUAACUGUGAGUAUAUGAAAUCUAGGCAACAAAAUAAAUAGAACAGAGACUGGAAGACGUGAUGCUUCCUGGGAGAACAUGUGCCCGUAAGGAUCGAUCUCAUGGGAUUCUUAGCAUCAAGCAAAGAACUUGUAAUACGCUGAAUGCUGCAUAGAAGGUUUUGAAACUACUUACCUGCUGUGGAACACCUGUAUAACUUUAAAAUGCAUCAAUCAAUCUCGAGAGUAUGAUCAUGCUUCCUGCUUUUAAGGAUCUGAAGUUAACUGCAACUCCAAGUAUACAAGACUUCUUUGGGACCCAUGGAAGCAUCUCUACAUGCUCAUGUUUGCCAGAUUCAGUGGCCUCCUGAAACCUGGCCCUAGCUAAUAAGUUAAAAAGCUCUAAGUAAUCCCGAGCUGCAUUUGAAUCUCCAAGAUCACUUGUUCAUGGGUUGGUAAUACUUUAAAGAGCCAUUUGUUUAACUGCUAAUCUGGAUCUUAUAUUCUGAGCCCCAGCUUUUUUCUAAAGCAAAGAAAAUACAAAAUAAAAGUAAGACCAAAUGCCUUUGUACCAUGGAGAGAGAAAUGACUCAUUGGAAUGCUUCUGUUUUUCAUCACAUCAAAGAUGCAUCAACAUAAAUCAACCAUUAUAUCAUGCACCAUGAUAAAAAAGGGGGAUAAAAGUCCCCAAACCACUGCCAAUUAAACCAACACAGUGCCUUUGUAUUAUUCAGAAUUUUUAUCUUAGCCUUAUUGAAAGAGCUUUUUUAGAACAUAUUUAAACAAUUCUGUCAUAUUUCAUUCUUGCAUACUCAUUAAAAAGGAAAAUAUGAGAGAUACAAA